rnacentral:tRNA from 1 species
GCGGCUAUGGCGAAAUGGCUAACGCAUCGGAUUGUGGCUCCGACAUCGUGGGUUCGAUCCCCACUAGUCGCCCCA